rnacentral:misc_RNA from 1 species
GGAAGGAUCAUUACUGAAGACCGGGACCCUCCUGUAGUAGACCAUUCAACGGCCUGCCGUCGGAAUUUGAUGAUAAUCAACUCGGCUCGUUGCCCAACAUCAGGGAGUGGUUUUGAGAUUCUCACCACCACCUUAGCACGUUGCUCCGUGCACCUGAUGGGUGCUUCUUGAUCCUUGAUGCUCAUUUACCAGGUUGGAUUGACCAGGCUCAUCCCUUUGCAUCUACCCGCGGUGGACCUGUGUCUAUGGGUGCUCAUUGAUCCCCGAAGCUCGUUUACCGGGUUGGUUAGGCUUAGGCUGUUGCGGCAGGCCUUUGGUCUCCUAUGCUCUUCUUAACACAAAACCUGUCGUCGUAUGGUGUUGCACUUAAACAUGUAAUAUAACUUUUCAACAACGGAUCUCUUGGCUCUCGCAUCGAUGAAGAACGCAGCGAAAUGCGAUAAGUAGUGUGAAUUGCAGAAUUCAGUGAAUCAUCGAAUCUUUGAACGCACCUUGCGCUCCUUGGCAUUCCGAGGAGCAUGCCUGUUUGAGCGUCGUUGAAUUCUCAGGAUCCCUACCAUAGCCAGUCUUUCUUGAGGGAAGGGGACGUAGUUUGACACCAUUGGGUGUGGCUGUCCUGCUGAUGGGGUGAGCUGCAAUGCGGCCGGUGCCCCCUUUCCCUUUGUUGGGGACCAUUGCGUUGACCUUUGCUGGGGAUGAAAUCGACCUGCUCUUGACUGGUUGAUUUGCACCAUCCACCUCUCUCGGGGGGUGCGCAUCUCUUCUCUGUGCGGAUGAAGAGAAGCCAGUGUUCCGCAAGGACGCCAGCAGAGGGCCCCACCUUUGGUCUACUUCCUUGAAAGAUUGGCAGAGGAGGUAGUAACUGGCACCAAACAAGUUUUCGCCCGAUAUUCUUGUUUUCCCAAGAAGCCAGUUAGUUACAUGCUGGUGGUUGGUGGGGCUGGUCUACAACUUCCCGUCAGGUGGGGGUGUGGAUUGUGGAGGAUGCAUUGCUGCCUCAACUGGGGCGUCUUUGCUUCUCUGAAAUGGAUUGCCGUUACGGCUGCGUUCAAUUCUCAGAAUCCUAUCUGAUCUUUGUUGAGGAAAGGGGAGGUAGUAAGACACCGUCAAGAUGUAUCUGUAUCCCAGGAUCGGCUGCACCUUGAUGGCAGUGGCUGAGCUUGGCUUGGCCUCGCUUACUAUCAGGCAGCCACCUUCCUCAUAAUUGCAAGGAUUGGGGAUGGCUGUAGUAGACAUGGUCUUGGCAUUAAUGGCUGCGUUGAAUUCUAACCCCACGUGUAGUCUCAUUCUUGAGGGAAGGGGAGGUAGUUUGACCCUGUCAGGACUACCAUGCGGCCCGAAAAGUUUUGGGAGUGGCUGUAGUAGGACUGGCCUGUCAUCGUGAGAGGAUGGCACAGGGCAGAGAGACGCUGCCUGGCCUUACUAUGGUCACUCACGUGGGUGGAGGAUGCACUGUCCCCUUUGCUUCUCCGAAACGCAUUGCCUAGAGCAGCACUGCGAGGAUGACAUUGCUCGCUCCUCUGAUAUGCCAUGCCCUUAGGGGUCUGGGUUGAGGAGGCGCUUCUCUGAUACCCAUGCCCUAAGGGGUCUGGGUUGAGGAGGAUGUUGUUGCUCGCAGUGCCAUCAAGGCUCUGGCCACGAACCUGUUGCCGGUAUGAUACACACGUCUUACCUGCUUCUGACCCGUGCCGGCCAUGACACACGAGACACAGUCUCAAACGAUUUGACCUCAAAUCAGGCAGGACUACCCGCUGAACUUAAGCAUAUCAAUAAGCGGAGGAAAAGAAACUAACAAGGAUUCCCCUAGUAACUGCGAGUGAAGCGGGAAGAGCUCAAAUUUAAAAUCUGGCGGCCUCUGGCCGUCCGAGUUGUAAGCUAGAGAAGCGCCGUCCGCGCUGGGGCCGUGUACAAGUCUCCUGGAACGGAGCGUCGUGGAGGGUGAGAACCCCGUCUCUGACACGGACCUCCCAGGGCAUCGCGAGGGCGCCCUCAAAGAGUCGAGUUGUUUGGGAAUGCAGCUCCAAAUGGGUGGUAAACUCCAUCUAAAGCUAAACAUUGGCGAGAGACCGAUAGCGAACAAGUACCGUGAGGGAAAGAUGAAAAGAACUUUGGAAAGAGAGUUAAACAGUACGUGAAAUUGUUGAAAGGGAAACGCUUGAAGUCAGUCGCGUCGGCCUGGGAUCAGCCCCGCAACCGCGAGGCGCACUCCCCGGUCGACGGGUCAGCACCAGUUUCGGCCGUUGGAGAAGGGUCGGGGGAAUGUGGCAUCCUCGGAUGAGCUUACAGCCCCCGAUCGCAUGCAUCGGUCGGGAUUGAGGAACUCGGCGCGCCGCAAGGCCGGGUCUUCGGACCACGCCCGCGCCCAGGAUGCUGGCACAAUGGCUUUAAUCGACCCGUCUUGAAACACGGACCAAGGAGUCUAACGUGCCUGCGAGUGUUUGGGUGGAAAACCCACGCGCGCAAUGAAAGUGAAAGUUGAGAUCCCCGUCGUGGGGAGCAUCGACGCCCGGACCAGACCUGCUGUGACGGAUCCACGGUGGAGCAUGCAUGUUGGGACCCGAAAGAUGGUGAACUAUGCCUGAAUAGGGCGAAGCCAGAGGAAACUCUGGUGGAGGCUCGUAGCGAUUCUGACGUGCAAAUCGAUCGUCGAAUUUGGGUAUAGGGGCGAAAGACUAAUCGAACCAUCUAGUAGCUGGUUCCUGC